UAGCUUGUUUGAGGUGACCUGAUUUAA
rnacentral:sRNA from 1 species